UACAGAGGUCUCAAGCGUUGUUCGGAUUCAUUGGGCGUAAAGGGUGCGUAGGCGGCGCGGUAAGUCGGGUGUGAAAUCUCGGGGCUUAACUCCGAAACUGCAUUCGAUACUGCCGUGCUUGAGGACUGGAGAGGAGACUGGAAUUUACGGUGUAGCGGUGAAAUGCGUAGAUGUCGGAAGGAACAUCAGUGGCGAAGGCGGCUUUCUGGGCCUUACCUGACGCUGAGACGCGAAAGCGUGGGGAGCGAACCGG
rnacentral:rRNA from 1 species